GACGAACGCUGGCGGCGUGCUUAACACAUGCAAGUCGAGCGGUAAGGCCCUUUCGGGGUACGACGAGCGGCGAACGGGUGAGUAACACGUGGGUGACCUGCCCUCCAGCUCUGGGAUAAGCCUGGGAAACCGGGUCUAAUACUGGAUAUGACUCCAUGACGCAUGUUGUGGGGUGGAAAGCCUUGUGCGGCUGAGGAUGGGCCCGCGGCCUAUCAGCUUGUUGGUGGGGUGAGGCCUACCAAGGCGACGACGGGUAGCCGGCCUGAGAGGGCGACCGGCCACACUGGGACUGAGACACGGCCCAGACUCCUACGGGAGGCAGCAGUGGGGAAUCUUGCGCGAUGGGCGAAAGCCUGACGCAGCGACGCCGCGUGAGGGAUGACCGG
rnacentral:rRNA from 1 species